rnacentral:rRNA from 1 species
UGGGGAAUUUUGGACAAUGGGCGAAAGCCUGAUCCAGCAAUGCCGCGUGUGUGAAGAAGGCCUUCGGGUUGUAAAGCACUUUUGUCCGGAAAGAAAUGGCUCUGGUUAAUACCUGGGGUCGAUGACGGUACCGGAAGAAUAAGGACCGGCUCACUACGUGCCAGCAGCCGCGGUAAUACGUAGGGUCCAAGCGUUAAUCGGAAUUACUGGGCGUAAAGCGUGCGCAGGCGGUUGUGCAAGACCGAUGUGGAAUCCCCGAGCUUAACUUGGGAAUUGCAUUGGUGACUGCACGGCUAGAGUGUGUCAGAGGGGGGUAGAAUUCCACGUGUAGCAGUGAAAUGAGUAGAGAUGCAGAGGAAUACCGAUGGCGAAGGCAGCCCCCAGAGAUAACAAUGACGCUAAUGCACGAAAGCGUGGGGAGCAAACAGG